rnacentral:rRNA from 1 species
AACGAACGCUGGCGGCAUGCCUAACACAUGCAAGUCGAACGAACCCUUCGGGGUUAGUGGCGCACGGGUGCGUAACGCGUGGGAAUCUGCCCUUUGCUUCGGAAUAACAGUUAGAAAUGACUGCUACUACCGGAUGAUGUCUUCGGACCAAAGAUUUAUCGGCAAAGGAUGAGCCCGCGUAGGAUUAGGUAGUUGGUGGGGUAAAGGCCUACCAAGCCGACGAUCCUUAGCUGGUCUGAGAGGAUGAUCAGCCACACUAGGACUGAGACACGGCCCAUACUCAUACGGGAGGCAGCAGUGUGGAAUAUUGGACAAUGGUCGCAAGUCAGAUCCAGCAAUGCCGCGUGAGUGAUGAAGGCCUUAGGGUCGUAAAGCUCUUUUACCAGGGAUGAUAAUGACAGAACCUGGAGAAUAUGCUCCGGCUAACUCCGUGCCAGCAGCCGCCGUAAGAC